GGAAAGGCGCGCGAUACAGGGUGACAGCCCCGUACACAAAAAUGCACAUGCUGUGAGCUCGAUGAGUAGGGCGGGACACGUGGUAUCCUGUCUGAAUAUGGGGGGACCAUCCUCCAAGGCUAAAUACUCCUGACUGACCGAUAGUGAACCAGUACCGUGAGGGAAAGGCGAAAAGAACCCCGGCGAGGGGAGUGAAAAAGAACCUGAAACCGUGUACGUACAAGCAGUGGGAGCACGCUUAGG
rnacentral:rRNA from 1 species